CAGUAGCCACGGGAAUACGAAGGGGGCUAGCGUUGUUCGGAUUAACUGGGCGUAAAGGGCGCGUAGGCGGGUUUUUAAGUCAGAGGUGAAAUCCCAAGGCUCAACCUUGGAACUGCCUUUGAUACUGGAAGUCUUGAGUCCGGGAGAGGUGAGUGGAACUGCGAGUGUAGAGGUGAAAUUCGUAGAUAUUCGCAAGAACACCAGUGGCGAAGGCGGCUCACUGGCCCGGUACUGACGCUGAGGCGCGAAAGCGUGGGGAGCAAACAGGAUUAGAUACCCGUGUAGUCCCUGUCUCUUAUAC
rnacentral:rRNA from 1 species